AUGGCGACCGAGCAGCCGUCGGAGAAGAAGAAGCCGCCGCCGGAGAAGAAGGUCCCGCUCCCCAAGGUGGUCACGCUCAACAAGGCGCUCAAGCUGGCCCAGACAUGGGUGGACGAAAUGAGUGCGCUGGAGCAGGAUGAACUGAACGAUAAGGACUUCGAGGGUCGGCCAUCAGGGCUUGGUCUUGGUGCUAAAGUGGCGCCGAAUGCGAAGCGCGCAGCUCCCACUGAUCCAGUGGAGAGGAGGUUGCUUGGAAAGGUGAAUGCGCAGAAGAGGAAGUCUGCGGAGGAGGAUAAAAUAAAUACCCAGGAGGUGAAUGAGGCGAGCGAUGAUGAUAGUGGUGAGCCUCAAGGAGAACACACCAGUAAUUCGAUCAUGAGCUACCAGCAGCAGGGUAUGUACUCCACUCCGGAUUUCGUUUGGAUCGGUUGCUCGCUGUGA
rnacentral:rRNA from 1 species